UUCGGACAUAAUAUCGUAGAC
ensembl:piRNA 21ur-11442 ncRNA